rnacentral:rRNA from 1 species
GACGAACCACACAAACGUUAUUCGGAAUUACUGGGCUUAAAGGGUGCGUAGGCGGCGCGGAAAGUUGGGUGUGAAAUCCCUCGGCUCAACCGAGGAACUGCGCCCAAAACUACCGUGCUCGAGGGAGAUAGAGGUGAGCGGAACUUAGGGUGGAGCGGUGAAAUGCGUUGAUAUCCUAAGGAACACCCGGUGGCGAAAGCGGCUCACUGGGUCUCUUCUGACGCUGAGGCACGAAAGCUAGGGUAGCAGAACGGG